GCACAAAACAAGAAAAUAGAGAGUUCCCAACCCCCACUGUUUUCGGCCCAACCUUAGGAAAACCAAAUCAAAUUCUAGCUUCCCAAAAAUUAUUUCCUUGGUGUUAACCCACUAUAUUGAGGUCCCUAAGUAGCGUGGAAGAGUUGUUCGGGUCAUCCAACCAUUAGUUGUACCCAUUUGCAAACCCUAACUAUUUGGUGGAUUGAAGAAGAAAGAUCGUGGGCAGCCCGAAUCAUAGUUUGGACUUAGCUUGAGUUGGAUCAUAUUGGAGAGCGUUUGAGGUACGGACGCACAGCCUGGUGAUCCACCUGUUUAGGACACCCUUUCUGCUAUUCGGAGUGCUCCUCUCUUUCCGGAGCUUAUACUUUUGGUAUAUAUAUUUUUAUUAGUGCAUUUGUAUAUAUUCGUUCAUGGGUACGGCGGGGCCCUGUCCUGUCAUAUGAUUCUGUCGGUCUGUUUAGAGGUCUGUGGACAUGUUUGUGGGUUAGGGUCUUUCUGUAUGGAUGUAUGUACAUGUCGUUUGGGCGAUCCCAUACGCCGAGGCGGCCGGUCCGCAUAUGUUGUUUGGGCGAUCCUAUACGCCGAGGAGGCCGGUCCGCAUAUGUUUAUAUAUUGCUUGGUUAGCCCUGUGUGGCUUUUGUUGGUAUUUUCUGCGUGCAGGGUAUAUUGGAUAGUCCGUAAAACAAAGGAAACUCUGCCGAAAUUUUUCUGGAAAUUACCUAAAUUUGAAAUAAAGCCUUGUCGGCUUCCGCCAUAUACUAGAAUGAGUUAAUAGAAUUUGAGAUAAUAUUUGAUAGAUGGGUUCGGGUGCCCAGAUCGGGCACUAGUCACGGCCUACGGGGUUGGG